GACAAACGCUGGCGGCGUGCCUAACACAUGCAAGUCGAGCGAGAAGGGAGCUUCGGCUCCUGGAAAGCGGCGAACGGGUGAGUAACACGUGGGCAACCUGCCUCAAGGAUUGGGAUAACGUCGGGAAACCGACGCUAAUACCGAACGAUGUCGUCUGGCGCAAGCCGGCCGACCAAAGGGUAGCUUCGGCCUCCGCCUUGAGAUGGGCCCGCGUCCUAUCAGCUUGUUGGUGAGGUAACGGCGCACCAAGGCUACGACGGGUAGCUGGUCUGAGAGGAUGAUCGGCCACACUGGGACUGAGAUACGGCCCAGACUCCUACGGGAGGCAGCAGUGGGGAAUUUUGCGCAAUGGGCGAAAGCCUGACGCAGCAACGCCGCGUGGGGGAUGAAGGUCUUCGGAUUGUAAACCCCUUUCGGCAGGGAAGAUGGAACGGGUAACCGUUCGGACGGUACCUGCAGAAGCAGCCACGGCUAACUUCGUGCCAGCCGCCGCCGUAAAAC
rnacentral:rRNA from 1 species